GCGCUGGUAGUUCAUCGGUAGAAUACUAGUUUUCCACAAUUAAACACAAAGCUGGGGAGUCGGGUUCAACUCCCGGCCAGCGCA
rnacentral:tRNA from 1 species